UUUGCGCAGUAUUCAAUUUGAAAAAAAAACCUGUCGCCGAAGAAGAAAGCUGCUCGCGAGCAUUAUAAAUCACGCAGCAUUAAGCAACCAAGAAAUGCACCCACGCUGGUCAAUCGAAAAUUAAACCUGCUGGAGGAGCGUGCAAAUUCUCAAAAUGGAGGAGAAAUUAACGACGAACUGCAGAAACUGCUAGCUGCGCAUAAUAAGCAAAUCAGCAGUACCGGAUACGUCUUCGUUGCAGUGAAGCAGACGGAGACUCAGGGCCCCCCACAGAGGGUUGACGAUCCAUUUGAACCAAAUCCGAAAACCAUGUUCCCUGAUGCUCAAACGGUGGACGAAGAUCAUAGUUCUCCCUGCUCGGCAACUUGCAACUUGCAGUCUUUUUGUCUGCAAUCUUGCUAUUCAUUUCUUUGGGACGGAGAGAUUAAUGAAUAUGAGCGUUACCGGAAAGCAAACACCAAGAUUUAAAAAUCUUCAGCGAGAAGAUGGGACCCCCUUAUAUCCAGCACGAGAACAGAUCACUCCAAGCAUUUUCCAAUUUAUUUGCGAAAAGCUUGUAGAACGUGUGGCCAUGAUGGCCAUCCAAAGUAAAGGAAAUAACGUAUUUUGCCAACGAGAAGAAUGUGCGCAAAUACCUUGCGCAAAAAAUAAGCAACCUAAAUAAGGCGGCUGCUCGACGCACCUAGAAAAAGGCCUUUACAGGAUACAGCUGGUGCCUACUAAAUAUAAAGACGAAUAUUUUGUUAUU